NUGUGUGUAAUUUAAAAAAAAUAUCAUACUGUGACUGUGAUAAUAGGAAUAAAUCCUCAUACACC
rnacentral:tRNA from 1 species